AAAAAAGAGAAGGCGGGAGGGGGGAGGAAAGGGAGAAAAGCCGCAAUGCCUGUUGCUUGGACAGGGAGCGUGGCGGAUUCUGAAGACGCCUCUUCCACCCAUUCGCCUUGUUCCUUCGCCCCUUGGGCUGCAGGUCUCCGGAGGACCGAGGAAACCGGUGGCUGGAGGCAAAAGGAGACAGCAGGGAUUCUGGGCUCCCGCCUUCUCAGUGAUGACCUUCCUCCUUUGGGACAGCUUACUCCUGCAAAUCUGGACCAACCCCUCCUACCUGUAAAAACAUGGCUCUUCAGGAAGGCAGUUGGAGAUGAAAGGAAAAUUACAAAAUUCUCGGCAUCCUUAGAG
rnacentral:lncRNA from 1 species